GGUUUGUAGCAAUACAGAUGCUGGCGACCGGCAAACGGGUGCGGAACACGUACACAACCUUCCUUUAAGUGGGGAAUAGCCCAGGGAAACUUGGAUUAAUACCCCGUAAUAUUAUGAAAUGGCAUCAUUUUAUAAUUAUAGCUACGGCGCUUAAUGAUGGGUGUGCGGCUGAUUAGGUAGUUGGCGGGGUAACGGCCCACCAAGCCUGCGAUCAGUAACUGGUGUGAGAGCACGACCAGUCACACGGGCACUGAGACACGGGCCCGACUCCUACGGGAGGCAGCAGUAAGGAAUAUUGGUCAAUGGACGCAAGUCUGAACCAGCCAUGCCGCGUGGAGGAUGAAGGUCCUCUGGAUUGUAAACUUCUUUUAUCUGGGACGAAAAAGGGUCUUUCUAGAUCAACUGACGGUACCAGAUGAAUAAGCACCGGCUAACUCCGUGCCAGCAGCCGCGGUAAUACGGAGGGUGCAAGCGUUAUCCGGAUUCACUGGGUUUAAAGGGUGCGUAGGUGGGUCUGUAAGUCCGUGGUGAAAUCUCCGAGCUUAACUUGGAAACUGCCAUGGAUACUAUAGAUCUUGAAUACUGUGGAGGUCAGCGGAAUAUGUCAUGUAGCGGUGAAAUGCUUAGAUAUGACAUAGAACACCAAUUGCGAAGGCAGCUGGCUACACAAAUAUUGACACUGAGGCACGAAAGCGUGGGGAUCAAACAGGAUUAGAUACCCUGGUAGUCCACGCCCUAAACGAUGGAUACUCGACAUUUGCGAUACACUGCAAGUGUCUGAGCGAAAGCAUUAAGUAUCCCACCUGGGAAGUACGAUCGCAAGAUUG
rnacentral:rRNA from 1 species